AAUCAACGCUGGCGGCGUGCCUCAGACAUGCAAGUCGAACGAUUAAAGCUCUCUUCGGAGAGUGUAUAGAGUGGCGCACGGGUGAGUAACACGUAAGCAAUCUACCUUUGAGGUGGGGAAUAACAGUCGGAAACGACUGCUAAUACCGCAUAAUGCAGCGGCAUCGCAAGAUGACAGUUUAGUUAAAGGAGCAAUCCGACUUAAAGAGGAGCUUGCGGCAGAUUAGCUAGUUGGUAAGGUAAUGGCUUACCAAGGCUACGAUCUGUAUCCGGUCUAAGAGGACGGUCGGACACACUGACACUGAAUAACGGGUCAGACU
rnacentral:rRNA from 1 species